AAUUAUGGGUAAUUAUGAUUUUCUUCAAAAUAGCUAGUUCACGGACUGUGGCGCACUAUCACCGCAUAGCGACAGAUGCCAAUUAUGGCAUAAUUAGAGCAUAGAAGAAAAAAAACCAGAGGCACUCAACUGUUCAGGAGAGUUUGUUGCGUCGAUACCAUCUGACAAAAAAAAAAUACGGUAAUAUUGAAAAACGUAAUUAACUAACAUAAUAUUUAGUAAAACUUUUAAGCAGCAAUUCAUUAUAUUUUCUAACGUUAUUAUGCAUUUAUUUCACGUAAUAUCAAUGGAAUAGACUCACCUCAACAAUUCUGUAUCAUUAUAUUAUUUUUUUUAUUCUCUAAUUACACAAUAAUCAAAGUUAUCCGACGAUCUGCAUGAUACGUAUACCGGAGAUUUAGUUCGGCCCUUUGCAGCUACAUGGUGAUAGUGCGCCACAUGGUCCUUAGACCACGUGCAUACAUAAUAUAUGGUCCAUAAGCCACAGUCUAUGAAUUUUUGAUUGCCCACAAACUUUUGAUUACCAAAAAUUUUAGAAUUCAUAGAUACGGUACAUUCGAUACGCAGAAUAACUGGAAUCAUUCUAAGGACUAAGAACGUUAGUUUCGACGAGCUAUUCAACUUUUUCUCUUUCUCAGCUUCUAGCAAUUCAUCAUUGGACGAUGCCGCCAUCCAUUUUUGACGCUUGUGUGUUCCGGAUUUAUUCUUGGAUUCGCCAAAUCUCUUUGGACUCGCAAAAUUCGACGCCGCCGUUUGCCCACAAAUUCAACAGAGACACGGAUUUGCAACAAGGGAGAACUUGAUUUCGAACAGGAAACGGCGAAGAAAAUUGCUUUAGCGGGAACACGAACAUUCCAUACUCACCCUGAGUGCCUGACAUUAAGCUAAUUAAUGGAUGUAGACGGGCUCAUAAUUGGUGUGCCCUGCACUCCAUGCUCCUGAUGGGAUAUGUUGCCGGCGAAUCGAUAUUUCUAACAUCGUCCAAGGAAAUUCAAUCACUCCGCGCAUCGCGGUGUUACGCAACGUUUCGCACGGGAUGCGAAACAAGCUCGGUUUCGCAUCGUUCCGUUGCACCAUAUAAAUGCAGAUCCCGGCAUCUAUCUCGGGGGCUGGUUUCAUAAAAUCGUGGGAUUGUCUGGCCUCUGGCAAAAUGGCUUUUCUUUGAAACUUUCCGUUUCCUUUACAUUCAAAUCGAUUUCUGCGGGUCGCCCUGCAACAACGAUUUAUCGCUCGAUGCGUGUCGCGCGUUCGCGAACGCGGUUUUCGAGCAGGUUUAAAUUGAAAGCCCGGACACACAAUUCGGUCAUCCUGUAAUCGUAUAUUUACAAUGCGCCCACUAAACGAUAUUUACACGAACGUGGUAUCUACAAAAUUACAGAUAUUGCGCGUCCUCGUCCUUGUCGAUGGUGUUCCUUAUCCAGUCAACGUAAUGCUGCACCUUGGUAUAGACGUCCGGAUACCCGGGCCUGGCGCAUCCGGAGCCGAACGACGUGACACCGGCCAAUUGCCAUACGCCGUCCGGACGACGGCAUUGCAAGGGUCCCCCGGAAUCGCCCUGCGGACACACAACGAACGAGACUUGGAAAAAAGAAUCCGGAGAACCGAGGCAAUGAAGAGGACGAGUUGGAGUCGUUCUAUUUCGUCGAUGAAGGACAGGGGCAGUUCCGUUAUAUCCCGGAGACGCGGUACUUUUAAUCUACUUCCGGACGAGCCGUCGGUGUGCCCGGCGCAGAGAUGGCCACUUCGGAUGGGCACCGAUUUCCCGUACGCUUUUAUGCACUUCUCGAGAUCGAGCAACGGCACCGACGCUUCCAGCAACGCGGUCGACAGCGAUUGGGACGGCCCGUAACGGCCCCAUCCGGAGGCGACGCAAUACCCGUUCGCCAGCUUCUCCUCCGGCUCCGGUAGGCAUAUGGUCCUCACCACCUUCGACAGGGGAGCCGGCCUGGCGAGCUUCAUCAGGGCUGCAAACACACACACACAGCUGUUCCACGUCUCUUUCUUCUGCUCGUCGAUUCGUCAACCCGCUCGAGGCACGCUGUGUCACCUACCAAUGUCGUGGACGUAAUUGUUGAACCUCUCGUGGAGGACCACUCGCUCAACGGGCAGCCUGGCCGAACCGCGACCGCCGGAAUCCAGUUCCCAUUCCCCUACGACAGCCGUCCACAGGGCGCCGAUUGUGACCACCCAGGCAGGAUCGAUCAGGACACCGCCGCACCAGUGCCCUAUGAAUCCAAGUUUCGGAUGCAACAACUGCAGGGACACCUGCCAAGGCCAGGAGCCUCUUCUGCUCGGCUUCCCGUUGAAGAUCCUGCCUGUGCUCGCGACGCUCUUCUUCCCGGUGGACGUCGAGUUCCUCUGGCCGCCAGGCUCCCCGAAGAUCGCUCGGGGCUGCCUGUGUGACGCUGUCGGACAUCCGCACUCUGUUAUUUAAAAAAGCUCAAGGUUCUCACCCGAUCGCCGUUGUCAUUUUCAGCCAACGGCGCCGCGCGUCGACCCGUCGCAGCCGUUUCAUCUCCAGAACUUCGCCGUGCGUUCGGGCGAGCCGCCGGCUCUACGGACUCAGCGUUUCGUUUCGACGACUCUAACGGAUCCCGUGAACAACAACGAACCCUGAGGACGAUGAUCCAGCGGUCGGCUGGAUCGACAAAGCCGCUAUAAUCGAGUGCUCACCAGAAUGAUUGUCCGUGAUCCUCGGCGUCGCGCAGACGAUCUCCGCGAGAACGAAAAGAAGUAUCGCCAAACGACAGCGAGGAUUCAUUUCCGGGGAGCGGAGUGCACCGUGUGUAUGCGCGCGCGUGUGUGUGUGUGUGUCUCUCUCGAUCGGAUCGACCGCUACUUCAUGUUCGAAAAAUCCGACGGUACAAGAGGAAAUUGUUCACUUGUUCACUGUUCACUUGGCCCGCCGUUCAAUAGACAAUCGUGUGACGAUCAUUCGCGGGUCGAAUCUCAGCGGACGAUCAUGGUAAACGAUCGGAGGAACCGCACCGUGGCAGGCGACGAACAGCGAUCCUCGCGGGCUGGGAUCACCGGACCGCUGGAGAUCGGUGGAUCGCUGAACCGCGGAUUUCGCGGAUCCUUCGAAGGAGCCUCGAAGAAAGUGAUCGUCCGCGAUCGCCAUUCGAAGAAGGGGGAUUACACACGCUUGCGACCGCGGCGAACGAAUGGAAACCGGGAGCAGAGCCCCGAACGGACGAAUAUCGCUCUCACUAACGAAAGUUACCGCUUGGCUUACUCUCCUGCUGGCUUCUCCUUAUCCGUCGCGAUUAGCUGGUGCCGCGCAUACAUCGAUUAGUAACGUUUACACUUUCAUCUAAUUGCCGAUGCGAUUUCGAGCCGGCGCGGCGGAUUUCUUCGAGCGCGAUCCAUUUCAGGAAAUAUCCACCUUUCUACGGAUCAAACUCUCGCCCAGGGCGGUUGCGAUAUCGUUGCAUCGGAUUAUGCAAAACUAUUCAAAUGUCGCGUUCGGGGAGCACGGUACUACGCUAACGUGUUUACCAUGAUCUGCUCGAUAAAAUAGUUUAUCGAGCCCCGGCUCGGUGUCCUCGGCUCCGUUCCCGGCGUCCGUCGCGGACACCUUUAUUUUGUUAGUUUUCUUUCCGAAACCGACGGCCGAUCAGAAUCGCAAUAAUUAGCUCGACAAGUGGAGCACAAGAAGGCCGAUGGCAUCCGGGGAACGUCCGUCAUUUUGACCAGGAUAGUAUGUAUGUUACACGGCGUCCGAUCGGGUUCGACUUCUUCGUCGACUCUUCCCGCACGGCUCUUUCUUUUGUCUCCGCGUCGCCGGUCUCGUUCUUUUUCCGAUGGAAUUUCGCGGCGAAUCGUUGCGGGAAAAGAACGAGACGACGCCGACUUGUACGACUGCGAGGGGUACGACGCCGGUGCCGGCGGACUUUCACGAUCGCCGCCGAUUUCAGAAAAGAACGCCGCCGCGUUUCGGGCAAUUACGGGAGCCGAGGCCACGUGAAAUUGUCGGACGACGGGCCGCCGCUCGAGCAAUAAUAACCGAACCAGGAAUCCGACGACGGGGAAUUCGUGGAAAAUCGGGCGCACACGAGCGCGCGCCGCGCUUUCCCUCGCGUCGGAAAAACGACAAAAGAUCGAUACCAUCGGCACUGUGCACGAGUUACAAGCUGGUUCUCGCUGCGCAAGAAAUCUUCCCGCAACGAGGUUAAUUCCGUGUUCGGUUAUUGGGGCGGUCGGCUGCCAAAUGUCGGCCUAAAUAAGAGCGUCUCGCGGACACGGUGUUCCGCGGGACGCUCCGCCGUUAAAAAUCGGUGUCGCCGUGGCCGGAUUAACCGUUUGCGUCCAACAGGUGUUAUUCUAUUAUAUAUAUUCUAUU